AACAGAGAAGAAGAACGCGGAGCACUGCAGAAAUGGAGGUGCCGUGGCUGCUGUUGUGCCUGGCACUUUCCCUUUCAGUGGUGCCUCCCGCAGCGUCGCAGCGGCAGCGGCAGCCGCCGCCGGGAUGCCGGCGGCGCUGCGGCAACGUGACCGUCCCUUACCCCUUCGGCAUCGGCGCGGGCUGCCACCGCGGCUCGGCCGCGGGGGGCUUCCGGCUCCGGUGCGACGACGCCCGCCGCCCGCCGCGCCUCACCGUGUCGGGCUACGGCCACGAGGUCGCCGCCAUCUCGCUCCCCGCGGCCGAGGCCACCGUGCUCCUGAACGCCAGCCGCGCGUGCUACGACCGCCCCGGCGACCCCGGCGGGCGCGUGGUCAGCCUCCGGGAGCAACCCAUGGAGCUCAACGGCAGCGCGUUUCUCUUCUCGUCGAUGAAGAGCAAGUUCGUGUCCAUCGGCUGCCCCGGCCUCGCCUACUUCACCGACGGCGACGGGUACUACGUCACGGGGUGCAUGUCCGUGUGCCGCCCCUCCGAGCGCGCGCUGCCGGGCUCGUGCCGGGGCGACGACGGCUGCUGCCAGAGCAACAUCCCGCUCGGCCUCGCCUCCUACCGCCCGCACCUCGGGAGCUUCCGUGGCCAGGAGACGACGUUCCUGGCCAACUCCACCGCCUGCGCCUACGCGUUCAUGGUGGACGCGUGGUGGUUCUGGUUCGCCGGCUCCCACUUCAACCGCACCGGCGACUUCGCCGUGCCCGUCGUCCUGGACUGGGCCAUCAGGGACGCCCCGGGCUGCGCCGCCGCACAGCGAGAGCCUGACAAUUACGCGUGCCGGAGCGCGCACAGCGUGUGCCUCGAGUCCAGCAACGGACCUGGGUACGUCUGCAACUGCACCGACGGGUACCAGGGCAACCCCUACGUGGUCGACGGCUGCACAGAUGUCGAUGAGUGCCAGCACAGGGACGAGUUCCCUUGCUACGGCGCCUGCGUCAACACGCCGGGCAGCUUCACCUGCACAUGCCCCAAAGGAUCCAGUGGGAAUGCCACUAUCCUGGAUGGCUGCCGCCCAGACAACAAAUUCAGUUCAGCACUCAAGGCCGUCAUAGGUACAAGCUCAGGCGUGUUCUUUCUGCUGCUGGCCUGCUUCUCGGCGCACCUGUGGCUUCAGAAGAGGAGGCUGCUCCAAGCAAAGCGGCGGUUCUUCGAGCAGAACGGCGGCCUCCUCCUGCAGCAGCAGCUGGGCUCGCUGGCCAGCGCCGGCGUCGCGUUCAAGAUCUUCUCCGAGGAGGAGAUCAGCAGGGCCACCGACGGCUUCGCGGAGGCGCGGGUCCUCGGCCGCGGCGGCCACGGCGUCGUCUACAAGGGCGUCCUCGCCGACGGCUCCGCCGUGGCGGUCAAGAAGUCGAGGGUGGUCGACGCGAAGCAGGUCAAGGAGUUCGCCCGGGAGAUGCUCAUCCUCUCCCAGAUCAACCAUCGCAACGUGGUGAAGCUGCUCGGCUGCUGCCUCGAGGUCGAGGUGCCCAUGCUGGUCUACGAGUACGUCCCUAACGGCAGCCUCCACGGCCACAUCCACGGCGACGACGGCGAGAGCGAGCUUCCGCCGGGCGCGCGCUUCCGCGUCGCGGCCGAGUCCGCGGACGCGCUCGCGUACAUGCACUCGUCGGCGUCGCCGCCGGUCCUCCACCGCGACGUCAAGUCCGCCAACAUCCUCCUCGACGGCGACCUCGCGGCCAAGGUGUCCGACUUCGGCGCGUCGCGGCUGGCGCCGGCCGGCGAGGCGGCGGUGGCCACGCUGGUCCAGGGGACGCUUGGGUACCUGGACCCCGAGUACCUGCUGACCAGCCAGCUCACCAGCAAGAGCGACGUGUACAGCUUCGCGGUGGUCCUGCUGGAGCUGCUCACCGGGAGGAAGGCGUUCGUCCCGGUGGAGGAUGAGGAAGAGGAGGAGGAAGGGGGGCUCGCGUUCUUCUUCAUCACCGCAGCGCAGGCCGGACGGCACCUGGAGGUCAUGGACCGGCGGGUUAGGGAGGAGGUCGGCGUGGAGGUGCUGGACGAGGCCGCGGAGUUGGUGAUGCGGUGCCUGAGCAUGGUCGCCGAGGAGAGGCCGACCAUGAAGGAGGUCGCCGACAAACUCCAUAGUCUCAUCAGAUGAAUUAGUGAUGUGGUACACCGAAAUGGACGUGGACCGUUGGUUUAAUACCAUAUUACCCCUUAGGAGGGAUAGGGGCAGAGGGCCCAAGCGCUGCUCAGCAACCUCUGGUGGCAGGACAGAUUCCGGCUUACCUCUCCAGGCUCCAGCCGUGGAUGACGGACGGCGGCAGGCAGUAGGAGAAGCAGAAGGGGAAGAAGAACUGAAGAAGCAGAGGAGGGGAAAGCAGGGGGUGGGUGAUCUCAUCCGUUCUUCCGCGAGCAGCGAGAGGCUACCGUGCCCGUGCUGCCCCAUUUAUAGCCAGGGGAAGGGGAUC